rnacentral:rRNA from 1 species
AUUGAACGCUGGCGGCAGGCCUAACACAUGCAAGUCGAACGAGUGGCGGACGGGUGAGUAAUGUCUGGGAAACUGCCUGAUGGAGGGGGAUAAAUACUGGAAACGGUAGCUAAUCCCGCAUACCAUCAGAUGUGCCCAGAUGGGAUUAGCUAGUUGGUGGGGUAACGGCUCACCAAGGCGACGAUCCCUAGCUGGUCUGAGAGGAUGACCAGCAACACUGGAACUGAGACACGGUCCAGCAUCCUACGGGAGGCAAAAGUGGGGAAUAUUGCACAAUGGGCGAAAGCCUGAUGCAGCGAUGCCGCGUGGAUGAAGAGGGCCUGCGGGUUGUAAAGUACUUUCAGCGGGGAGGCGUUACCCGCAGAAGAAGCACCGGCUAACUCCGUGCCAGCGGCCGCGGUAAUUC